GUUUGAUCCUGGCUCAGAACGAACGUUAGCGGCGCGCCUAACACAUGCAAGUCGAGCGAGAAGGGGGCAACCCCUGUAAAGCGGCGCACGGGUGAGUAACGCGUGGGAACCUUCCCAAUGGUACGGAAUAGCCCAGGGAAACUUGGAGUAAUACCGUAUAAGCCCGAAAGGGGAAAGAUUUAUCGCCAUUGGAUGGGCCCGCGUCGGAUUAGCUAGUUGGUGAGGUAAUGGCUCACCAAGGCGACGAUCCGUAGCUGGUCUGAGAGGACGAUCAGCCACACUGGGACUGAGACACGGCCCAGACUCCUACGGGAGGCAGCAGUGGGGAAUAUUGGACAAUGGGCGCAAGCCUGAUCCAGCCAUGCCGCGUGAGUGAUGAAGGCCUUAGGGUUGUAAAGCUCUUUUGGCGGGGACGAUAAUGACGGUACCCGCAGAAUAAGCCCGGCUAACUUCGUGCCAGCAGCCGCGGUAAUACGAAGGGGGCUAGCGUUGUUCGG
rnacentral:rRNA from 1 species